GUUGGGCUCGAUUCUUUGCAAUUACACGUUUUGCUUUCGAAUGAAAAGUUGACCAUUUAAUCAGCUUCGUACAGUGAUGUCGAUGUCUUGGGAAUUUCAUAACAGUUCUUUACGAUAUUUUAGAAAAUAUCUUGCCAAGUCGAGAUGUUACCAUUCUAGCGUAAUAAUAAACCGAUAAUUUUGUAUAAAAUGGUUUACUUAAGUUGUGACCAGUGAGGAAAACAAAGCGUGAAACUGCUUUUUUAUUCAAUUAAUCUUUUAUCAUUUAAAUAUAAUA
rnacentral:lncRNA from 1 species